rnacentral:rRNA from 1 species
AGCGAACGCUGGCGGUAGGCCUAACACAUGCAAGUCGAACGGCAGCACAGUAAGAGCGUGGUAUUACGGGGGGCGAGUGGCGGGCGGGUGAGGAAUAUAUCGGAAUCUACUUUUUCGUGUGGGAUAACGUAGGGAAACUUAAGCUAAUAUCGCAUACGACCUACGGGUGAAAGCAGGGGAUCUUUGGACCUUGCGCGAGUGAACGAGCCGAUGUCGGAUUAGCUAGUCGGCGGGGUAAAGGCCAAGCAAGGCGACGAUCCGUAGCUGGUUUGGGCGGCUGGUCGCCCACCUUAGAACUGGACCCCCGUCCAGGCUCCUACGGGACGCAGCAGUCGCGAAUAUUGGACAAUGGGGGCAAGCCUUAUCCAACCAUACCGCGUGGGUUGCGACGGCCUUCGGGUUGUAAAGCCCUUUUGUUGGGAAAGAAAAGCAGCCGGUUAAUACCCCGCUGUUCUGACGGUACCCAAAGAAUAAGCACCGGCUAACUUCGUG